AUUGAACGCUGGCGGCAGCCCUAACACAUGCAAGUCGAGCGGUAGAGAGGUGCUUGCACCUCUUGAGAGCGGCGGACGGGUGAGUAAUGCCUAGGAAUCUGCCUGGUAGUGGGGGAUAACGUUCGGAAACGGACGCUAAUACCGCAUACGUCCUACGGGAGAAAGCAGGGGACCUUCGGGCCUUGCGCUAUCAGAUGAGCCUAGGUCGGAUUAGCUAGUUGGUGAGGUAAUGGCUCACCAAGGCGACGAUCCGUAACUGGUCUGAGAGGAUGAUCAGUCACACUGGAACUGAGACACGGUCCAGACUCCUACGGGAGGCAGCAGUGGGGAAUAUUGGACAAUGGGCGAAAGCCUGAUCCAGCCAUGCCGCGUGUGUGAAGAAGGUCUUCGGAUUGUAAAGCACUUUAAGUUGGGAGGAAGGGUUGUAACCUAAUACGUUGCAAUUUGACGUACCGACAGAAUAAGCACCGG
rnacentral:rRNA from 1 species